GGUUAUUACUCACAACCCCGUAUCUGAGUAUGUGUGUCUCCAAGGUCUUUCCCACAAGAACCCAAGGAAUUUUCACGCUGUCAAGGUUUUGGUUGACAAGUGGACAUUGCUAGUUGCCACGAUACCACCCCAUCCAGCACGUCCACAAGUUUUUUUUCCAUGAAAACUUCAAGCCGCCACCGUCUUCGUCCUCGUUUUAUCACCUUAAUAGAGUUUCUGCAAGCACAGAAAGAAACUCUAUAAAGUG
rnacentral:lncRNA from 1 species